rnacentral:rRNA from 1 species
CGUAACACGUAUGUAACCUACCUUGUUCAGGGGGAUAGCCUCUCGAAAGAGAGAUUAAGACCGCAUAACAUCAUUUUUCAGCAUUGCAAGAUGAUCAAAUAUUUAUAGGAACAAGAUGGGCAUGCGGGACAUUAGCUAGUUGGCGGGGUAACGGCCCACCAAGGCGACGAUGUCUAGGGGAUCUGAGAGGAUGACCCCCCACACUGGUACUGAGACACGGACCAG